CCACAAUUGAAGUGUUUGGUAAUUGAUUCAAAGGAAGUAACAGGUGAUGUUCUUCAAUUUAUCUGCGAAAAUUUCCGCAGUCUCACUUGCUUGAAAGUGCAAUGGUUAAGUAAGAGAGAAGGUGAUGGUCUCUCCCGAAUGAACUGUUUACCAUUUCUUCGAAAAUUGGACUUACGUAUACAAGGUAGAUUCAAAUGGUACAUGCAUAGCAUGCCUCGCACCAAGGUUCGCUACUUAACACUUCGCGGCAAUUGGAAACUAAAUUCCACCGAACUGCUUAAGCUACCGGACAUUUUCCCUCAGCUCGAGCGACUAACUUUGAUACC